rnacentral:tRNA from 1 species
CGGAGUGUAGCUUAGCCUGGUAGAGCGCUACGUUCGGGACGUAGAGGCCGGAGGUUC